CUUCUUUAGGAUGUCCGAAGCACCUUGCAGAGGUAUGAAGAAAAGGAGAGGUUUGAGAAUCCAGUGACUCUUCCUCUUGCAUUGAAGUGGAGGAUCUGGGACUUCUGUGACAUCAGUCUCUUGCUGGAAGGUGUCAUGAAGCAGCUGAAAGAACACUCAAAUUGUGUCCCCUCCUAUCCUCCAGUCUGUUCUGCCCUUCUCCCCACAAUCCUUUAAG